GUCACGAUAGCUCAAGUGGUAGAAUACCGGCGUUUUAAGCCGAAGGUCGUGGGUUCGAAUCCCGUUCGUGACA
rnacentral:tRNA from 1 species